rnacentral:rRNA from 1 species
GUUAUAGGGUCAAGCAAUGAAGCGCACACGGUGGAUGCCUAGGCAGCCAGAGGCGAUGAAAGACGUGGAAGCCUGCGAUAAGGCUCGGCGAGGUGGCAAACAACCUGUGACCCGGGCAUCUCUGAAUGGGGAAACCCACUCACCGUCAGGUGAGUAUCUUAUGCUGAAUCUAUAGGCAUAAGAGGCGAACCGGGGGAACUGAAACAUCUAAGUACCCCGAGGAAAAGAAAUCAACCGAGAUUCCCCCAGUAGCGGCGAGCGAACGGGGAGCAGCCCUUAAGCGUGUGACCGAUUAGGCGAACGUGCUGGGAAGCACGGCCAUAGCGGGUGAUAGCCCCGUAGCCGAAAAUCUGAUCACGUGAAAUCGAGUAGGUCGGGGCACGAGAAACCUUGACUGAAGACGGGGGGACCAUCCUCCAAGGCUAAAUACUCCUGGCUGACCGAUAGUGAACCAGUACCGUGAGGGAAAGGCGAAAAGAACCCCGGAGAGGGGAGUGAAAUAGAUCCUGAAACCGUGUGCGUACAAGCAGUGGGAGC